rnacentral:lncRNA from 1 species
UUACUGUGUAAACCCCUUUUAACUGGGUGUUUUGUUUCUUGCAGCCAAAAACAAUCCAUUGAUACACUUGGUGACAUUAAUUGAGAAAAAAACAAUAUGGUCUGGCCAUGGAGGCAUGGUAUCCGUAACAUCCCCCAAAGGAGCUAAAGAAGAAAUCCACAAUUUACCAUGAGCAUUUCUCGUCUGAAGAUUGCCAAGCGAUUCCUCCAGGACAUUCCUCAAGAUCAAUUUCUGUUCAUCCACCUUGUCCUGGGAGGGACAUCAAUGGGUUUCCAUGUCCUUUGGCUUCUGGUUGAGUUCACUCAGUGGAGAACCCUGGCAAGAGGCAGGAAAAGGGGAGGAAGCAGCCUGACCGGUUUGAAUUUCACCUUCUGUUCACCUUGGAUGAGAGCAGUAAUCAUCACGAUCCCAGGGAACAGCCAAAGGAAGAGAAAAGGCAAAAGAUUUGGACAAGACUCAUGAAGACUAACAGCUCUUGGAUAAUUGAGAGAAGGCAGCUGCGUGAACAGUUUUGAUGCAAUCAUGAAGGCAGGGCCCAGUGCCUGUGGCAUCUGCCUUUUUCUGGAACCAAUCCAUAUUUCCUUGUGGUUUUCUAAGGUGCAGAGAGGGCACAUUGGGAACUUUGCUUGGGGUCUUUUUCACAUCUUAGAGGGAAGGUCCCUCAACAUCUGCAUUGGCGGAGUGUGAUCCUCAUGUCCCUCUGAAUGAUCUGGACUUGAGGUAACCAGCCCCUUCCAGGAAGCUGUCCCAUGAGUGAAGCCUCAGCAGCAGCCUCUGUCAGUCCCUCCCCCACAGAACCUUUGGCUUCCAUUUGACCAGCCUUGACAUCCAGUGUCCAAACACCGAUAAAAUUGAUUCCACUAAGCGUGGGAAAGUCCUGGAGCAUCGAUUGUUUCCUCCUCUGCACCCCCGAUACCCUGGCAUUAGCACUCUCCCAGAAUGUACCUUGCUUGUUUGAUUGGAGGAGGUCAA